ACAGGUGUUAGAGAAUCGGGAAAUCGGUGUAAGUCCGAUACGUGCCCAACGCUGUAAAGGUGAUUGUUUAAUUCUUUCUUUUAAUAUAGAAAAUACGCCACUGGUGCUAUUAAUAGCGCUGGGAAGGCCUUUGAACAAAGUGACCCUAAGUCAGAAGACCGGCCUGAAGACUA
rnacentral:ncRNA from 1 species